AGCCUCCUGCACCUCUGCGGACGCCGCGGGUUCCAACCCUGCAGAAGGAACGGAGCGGAGUGGGCUCUGCUGGUUUCCACACGCACAGCUUCCGCUUUCCCUGUUUUAAUCUUCUUAAUGCUUAAAGUAGCAAGAGUGGUUUCUUUCUCCUGCAGAUGGACCUUCUCCUGCAGAUGGACCCUCCUUUAUACAGGUAAGGAGAGAAGAGGACGCCCAGGAUAGCGUCCAGAGGAACACCAGCACUUACUACGGGCAGGGAGGAGGAGGAUCCAGAAGAGAGCUCGGAGAAGGGGCAUCACAGAGAAGGGGAAAACCCAGGGAAGUUUCAAGCACACCAUGGUUAACAACGUCAUUCUCGACUGCUGCCAGGAAGCAGGUUGACCACUAAACAGUCUAGUGCUCAGUCUGCUCAUACUUGAGCUUGACAAAAUGGCAUCGUCCUGCUCGUAGUCCUGUGCAGGGGACGCGGGUGGCAUCGUGCCAUCCUUGCUAGUCUGGUGGUGAGCCUUCCGCGACCCCUGGUUUCACUCUCCCCUUGGCAGAUGCUGGUGCUCCCUACUGGCCCUGUUUGCCAGGAGGCUUUUCAUGACCUACGAACGCAAGAUGUCUCAGGGGCCGUGGCAAACGGCACCGUCGUUCACAGUGAUUCAGUCUCCCCCUUCCCUUAGGAGCACCCCUCCUUGCCCAUCGCCAGCCAGGAGACACACUGGAAGAGGCAGGUUCCAGGGCACCCCACCGUAGCUGGGAUCCGGGGAUCAGGAGACCACCAGGGGCCCUGUGUUACAACACCUGCACAGCAAGUGACUAGGCACUGGAACAUUGCUGCUGAAACCCUGAACUCCAUGCUAUGCUGGGUGUGAGACAGGUGAAGGGGCGGGAAGGGCGCCACCUCCUCACCCCUGCAUCCCACAUCAUCUUGAGUGUGUCCCCAGGCAAGGUGGAGUCCACACCCUGAGCCUGCUCACCCAGACCACUGCUCAGCCCUCCCAGGCUUGCCUUCCCCACACACUCCUUGCCCCCCACCCCUACGCUGACCAAAAAAAGAAAAGUUGCAAAAUCCAGGUGUACGGCGCAAUGACUUAGCAAGGCAAACACUCCCUUGGCAUCACCCAAGUCAAGAACUCAAAUGUCUACCUCCCCAAACCCCGUCAUCCCCCUCCCAUCACUUCCUUCUCCCUUCUACCAAAGUGACCACAAACCUGAUUUUUGUGGUAAUCUCUUUGGUUUUUAUAAUUUUACCAAUUGUGUCAGUCCGUCCAGGAUGCUAUGACAAAGUACCACAGACUGUGGUGUUUAUAAACAGCAGAAGUUUAUUGCUCACAGUUCCUGAGACUGGAAGUCAGAAAUUAGGGUGCCAUCCGGGUGGGGGAAGGCCCUCUUCCGGGUUGCAGACUUCUCAUUGUAUCCUCACUGGUGGAAGGGGUGAGGGAACUCUCUGGAGCUUCUUUUAUAAGGGCACUAAUCCCAUCAUGAGGACCUCACCCCCAUGACCUCAUGACCUAAGCACCUCCCACAGGCCCCACCUCCUAAUACCAUUAGGGGAUUAGGUUUCAGUGAAUUUGGAGGGGACACAAACAUCCAGGCCAUCGCACGAGAUAAGCAGGCAUCCCUCAAUAUGAUGAUUUUGUUUUGUCUGUUUUCGGACUUUAUAUAAAUGGAAUUAUUCAGUAUUACAUUUUGUGUCUAGAUUCUGUGCUCAAAAUUGGGAGGUUAGGGACUUCCCUGGCGGCCCAGUGGGUAAGACUCCGCGUUCCCAGUGCAGGGGGCCCGGGUUUGAUCCCUGGUCGGGAAACUAGAUCCCGCAAGCCGCAACUAAGAAGUCCGCAUGCCACAACGAAGAUCCUGCAUGCUGCAACUGAGACCUGGUGCAGCCAAAAUAAAUAAAUAUUAAAAAAAAAAUUGGGAGGUUAAUGUGAGUCAUUGCAUAACAGUGACAUGACGGCUAUUCCCCUAGAUAGAUAUUCUGCCAGUCAUUGAGCCCUUCUAGUGUUGAGAGACAUUUGAGUGGUUUCCCACUUUAGCUAGCAUGGCUAGUGGUGCUGCCAAUACUUACGUAUGUGGUGCACAUAUACGUGCAUUUCAAUGGGUAUAUGUAUCAUCAGGUCAUAGAGUGUAUGUACUGGGUUGAAUAGUGUCCCCCCAAAUUCAUGUCCACCUGGAACCUCAGAAUGUGACUUUAUUUGGAAAAAGGAUCUUUGUGAGUAUAAUUAGUUAAGAUGAGGUCAUAGUGGAGUAGCGAGCCCUAAUCCAGCGAAUGGUGUCCUUAUAAGAAGAGAAAAAGAGACACACAGCCACAGAGAAGAGGCCAUACGAAGCUGGAAGCAGAGAUUGGAGUGAACUUGUGUCUUCAAGCCAAGGAACACCAAGGAUUGCUGGCCACCACUGGAAGCUAGGAGAGAGGCAGAUCCCUCUUCAGAGCCCCCAGAAGGAGCCAACCCUGCCGUUACCCUGACCUUGGACUUCUGACCUCCAGAAUUGUGAGAGAAUAAAUCUUUUGUUGUCUUAAC